UGGCAGAGCCUUGAACAGCCUCAUGUACCUGCCCAAAAGAUGUCUGUAAAUACAGAGCACUGUUCCUCAGCCUGGGGAAUAAAGCAGCAGAAACCUCAGCUCACCUCUGUGCCUGUUAGUUGGGUAUGUGGGUGUUUCUGUCAAUAAGCUACAGGAGAUCUAGACACUCAGCACCUUCCUCCAGGCCCCAAAUACUUAAUUUUUAAUGAAAGCAACUGGGAGCCUUUUUAUUUUGACAAUUCUCCUCAGCCCCUGUGCUGCUGCAGCAGCAGGAGGGAAGUAAGGGGUAGCAGUACACAUCAGGGCUAGCCCAGAUUAUCAAAGUGAGAUUCAGCUUCAGAAGAAACCCAGGCAGCAGAGACCUCUCUAGGAAAAAAGAAAUCUUGAUUUCUCAGCUGCUUUAGUGUCCCUGGCCAGAACUUCAGCUAACAGCAGUCUGCAGCCUGAACAGGAUCAUUUCAGAAGACUUUCAUCAGCUGUUUCUUCUCCACUUCCUUUCCAUACUCUGUAUUAUUCCUGCUGGGAUAUCUCCAGAACAGCAAGAUGGUUUCUUCCUUUCUAACCUGAGAGAUGCAGUGAGUAACUAUGCAUGCAGGCACUAAAAAGAAAAAUCACUGGGAUGAAUUAGGGACUUUAUUUCAUUAUUUAUUUGUGGGAGUGAGAAACUUACUGAAAAUGUAUUGCCCAUGGUAAUGAAACACAAUUACCUAUUCUUCUCCAUCUCAGAUGAGAACAAAGAAGCCUGGAAGUCUUUGGAAGGUGAAGGUGAAUUAAAAUCAGAUUCGAAGAAAAAGGAGAAAAAGAGCUUUGAAAGGAGUGGAGGCACUCCUGACCAGCGAGGUCUCUGCAGCCCAGGAUGGAACCUGACAGGUGAAGACCCCUGUCUAUCAACCCAGGGACUCCAAUGCCACAUGGAAGACUGGAAGAAAGACAUUUUGCAACAGCUGAUGUUAAACCAGGUGGAAUUGGUGAUUUUUGCUGAUUAGCUGCUUCCAUUCAAAAACUGGGAGAUCCUCAGCAAAGUGUGGCUGGAGGAAAACUGAAGGAGAGUCACCUCUGUACACAUGGCCUGAUCCUGAUACACUCCAGCUGUGAACCAGUCUUACCACAAUGAACCAGUAUAACCAUAGAAACUCCUUUAAUACAAUAGGAAACCCCAUUUAUUACAGCUAUAAUCUGCACCUGACUUGGUUCUGAUUUUGGCCUUCAUCUGAAACCUGCUAAGGAUAAGAAAUCCUGAUGGUUGAUUGAGAAACUCCUCUGAAACUCUCUGACUUUCAGGGCACAGCUUGGUUGAGUUCAUGUCCCUGUGACGAGCCUGGCACAGCAGCCUGGCUCCUCCACAAUAGUUGGCAUCCACUGCUGGGUGGAAUCUGCCAGGGAUUCCUGUCAAUGUAGGGACACACAAAGGAUUCUUCCUCCCUGAUCCAGCUCACUGUUCUCUCUCCCAGGGUGCAGCUGCUGCCCUCAGAGAGGAGGGCAAUUGAACAGACCAGGGUUUUUGACUGAGAAUCAGAAACACUGGUGUUCAGCUCCCUUCACAGCUCAGUUUCUUGAUGCUUCUGGAGUUACACCAGUAGAAAAGCUAACUUUAUUAUUUGUGUUUCUGUAACAGAUUUUUCUAUCAUGUUGCACAUAACAAAGUGUGUUUCAGAAUGCCACAAAACAUCUGAAAUGCCUGGCUAGCUCUUCAUAUCCUGGAAGCAUCACUGCACUUGCACAAAUUGAUUUGAAAAUGUGGGAUCCCAGGGCUCUCUCUCACAAAAGGCCUAUUAAGAGGUUAGUUUGGAGAAAUAGCCUGAAGAAUAUUUAGCAACAGGCUUGAAACAUCAGACACUUGCUGCUCCCACCACCUCAGACUAAGGAGCCCUGAAACUGCCUCAGGUCAGACCUUUAAAACAUUGAGCUAUGCCUCAUCUGUACAACAGGUAAUGACAGCUCUGUUUUGUAAAGUUAUUCUUUGGCUAAACUAACGGAAUGCUGAGAUGUCUGUACAAUUGUAAUUGCAAAUAAAUCUCAGUGGCUAUUUAAAAUUAGAAUUUAA
ensembl:lncRNA